CAAUAAAGGAAGCAUGAGAAUGUGCAUAGAAAUUGAAUUGGGUCUCUAAGCUUGCCCUCUCUUAUUGAUGCCAUUUGGCUUUGAUUUGGGGGCAUGGUUCCGCAACAAAACA